CCAGACUCCUACGGGAGGCAGCAGUGGGGAAUAUUGCACAAUGGGGGAAACCCUGAUGCAGCGACGCCGCGUGAGUGAAGAAGUAUCUCGGUACGUAAAGCUCUAUCAGCAGGGAAGAUAAUGACGGUACCUGACCAAGAAGCCCCGGCUAACUACGUGCCAGCAGCCGCGGUAAUACGUAGGGGGCAAGCGUUAUCCGGAUUUACUGGGUGUAAAGGGAGCGUAGACGGCAGCACAAGUCUGGAGUGAAAUCCCGGGGCUUAACCCCGGAACUGCUUUGGAAACUGUGCGGCUGGAGUGCAGGAGGGGUAAGCGGAAUUCCUAGUGUAGCGGUGAAAUGCGUAGAUAUUAGGAGGAACGCCAGUGGCGAAGGCGGCUUGCUGGACGACGACUGACGUUGAGGCUCGAAAGCGUGGGGAGCAAACAGGAUUAGAUACCCUAGUAA
rnacentral:rRNA from 1 species